GGGAGAGCUUGUACCUGGCAGGAUGAAAUGCAGUGUGUGAAGGCGUUUAACCCCUUCCUUCCUAGGAGCCACCACGGCAGAUUUUGGUGAGGAUUGCUGAAAAACUCCACGUCGGGAGGCCAGCCCCAACUCCCAUAAAUGGAUCUUGCACGAAGAACUGCCUUUAGAGGGAAGCAAGCUGGGGGAGAUACUUUGGACUCAAAUCUUGGGACAGCAUCUCAACCUUCUUCAGCCCAAAGCCAUCAGUAAUUUGAUACUGUACUCCGGGCAAGCAGCAACCCUGUGAGCGACGUGGAGGCCUGGCCAUAUAAAUGCAUCUCUGACAGCUUCCUGUUGCUCCCUAAUUUGAGCUUUGGCAGGCCACCAGAGGAAGUGAAUCCCUGAG